UUUGUACUCCCUCCGUCCCAAAAUUCUUGUCUUAAAUCUGUCUAAAUAUGGAUGUACCUAGUUACAUUUUAGUGUUAGAUACAUCCGUAUCUAAACAAAUGUAAGACAAGAAUUUUGGGACAGAGGGAAUACUAC
rfam:Triticum aestivum genome assembly, contig: Triticum_aestivum_CS42_TGACv1_scaffold_038498_1BL